UACGGUGGGCGCUCGCGUUGUUCGGAAUUACUGGGCGUAAAGCGCACGUAGGCGGCCGUUCAAGUCAGAGGUGAAAGCCCGGGGCUCAACCCCGGAAUAGCCUUUGAAACUAGAUGGCUUGAAUCUUGGAGAGGUCAGUGGAAUUCCGAGUGUAGAGGUGAAAUUCGUAGAUAUUCGGAAGAACACCAGUGGCGAAGGCGACUGACUGGACAAGUAUUGACGCUGAGGUGCGAAAGCGUGGGGAGCAAACAGG
rnacentral:rRNA from 1 species